rnacentral:rRNA from 1 species
GAUGAACGCUGGCGGCGUGCCUAAUACAUGCAAGUCGAGCGAAGCGGGGACGGGUGAGUAACACGUGGCUACCCUCCUAUAAGACUGGGAUAACUUCGGGAAACCGGAGCUAAACCCGUUACUUAUAGAUGGUUCUGCGCUGCAUUAGCUAGUUGGUAAGGUAACGGCUUACCAAGGCAACGAUGCAUAGCCGACCUGAGAGGCUGAUCGGCCACACUGGAACUGAGACACGGUCCAGACUCCUACGGGAGGCAGCAGUGGGGAAUCUUCGGCAAUGGGCGAAAGCCUGACGCAGCAACGCCGCGUGAGUGAAGAAGGUCUUCGGAUCGUAAAACACUGUAAUUAGGGAGGCGGUACCUAAACAGAAAGCCACGGCUAACUACGUGCCAGCAGCCGCGGUAAUAC